rnacentral:rRNA from 1 species
AGAGUUUGAUCUUGGCUCAGGACGAACGCUGGCGGCGUGCCUAAUACAUGCAAGUCGAGCGGACCUUUCGGGGUCAGCGGCGGACGGGUGAGUAACACGUGGGCAAUCUGCCUUUCAGACCGGAAUAACACCCGUGAAACGGGUGCUAAUGCCGGAUAGGCAACAAGAUGGCAUCAUCUUGCUGGGAAAGAUGCUUCGGCAUUACUGAGAGAGGAGCCCGCGGCGCAUUAGCUUGUUGGUGGGGUAACGGCCUACCAAGGCGACGAUGCGUAGCCGACCUGAGAGGGUGACCGGCCACACUGGGACUGAGACACGGCCCAGACUCCUACGGGAGGCAGCAGUAGGGAAUCUUCCGCAAUGGGCGCAAGCCUGACGGAGCAACGCCGCGUGAGCGAUGAAGGCCUUCGGGUUGUAAAGCUCAGUCAUUCGGGAAGAGCGGACAGGAGAGGAAAUGCUCCUGUCGAGACGGUACCGGAAGAGGAAGCCCCGGCUAACUACGUGCCAGCAGCCGCGGUAAUACGUAGGGGGCAAGCGUUGUCCGGAAUCACUGGGCGUAAAGCGUGCGUAGGCGGCUUUGUAAGUCUGGGGUGAAAACUCAAGGCUCAACCUUGAGAAUGCCUUGGAAACUGUGAGGCUUGAGUACUGGAGAGGCAAGGGGAAUUCCACGUGUAGCGGU